rnacentral:snRNA from 1 species
AAAAAGGGUCGGCUGGCUAAAUAUGCCACAUUCGCCCGCUGGGUGAGUGCUGUAUGGCUAUCAAGACAUAUGGCCGACAUAAUUUGUGGAACCUUAUAGGAUUGGCUCCUUGGCCGAUCCUCUUA